UCUCAGGUGUAGCUGAUGGAAAAGAUGGAAGGAGAACUUUGAGGAACUCAGCGGUCCAGAGGUGCAGCGGCGUGUUCAGGAAGGGGGAGGAGUUUCAGGUGUGACCAGAGGACAGGUGAAGAAGACUGUGGCUGAAAUGAGACUUUCUGUGACGUUGUCAGUGAGAAAUCCUCCAGAAUGGAUCUUUAACUGUUGAAGAUGUUUCAGGAAGGAACUCUUGAGACGUCGUCUAAGAGGACAAACAAACACAAACAAACACAAACUGAGAGCGUCUUCAGGUGGGAUCCAUCAGGAGGUCGUCGUUCAGGAACCCGGGAAUGGACGGGUACGGCUCCUCCUCCGCAUCGGUCUCCAUGGUAACGCCCUUGGAGGGUUUGUCUUCAGACUCCUUCACAUUCUUGGUAAGCGGAGUCGUCUUCUUCCCCUGCAGCCAGUAGGUCACCAUGUCUCCUUUGCCCUGCAGGAACCCGGACAGGAGUUACCGGUCGUCCGUCUGCGGCGGCGCUGGACGGACGCCGCGGCUUACCUUGACCUGCAGAACUCCUCUACACUCCAGGACGUAGCCUCCGAUCUCCUCCAGCAGAACCUCCCUGUGACGUCAGACAGGAUUACCCAGGCUGGUGGACUCCAUCCGGGACGCCGUGUUCACCGUGUCUCCAAACAGGCAGUAGCGCGGCAUCUUGGUCCCCACCACCCCGGCCACCACCGG